CGGGCAGUAGCUCAGUAACAGAGCUCCUGCUUCAUAUACGGGGAGACUUGGGUUCGAUUCCCGGCUGCCCAC
rnacentral:tRNA from 1 species